UUGAUCCUGGCUCAGGACGAACGCUGGCGGCGUGCUUAACACAUGCAAGUCGAGCGGUAAGGCCCUUCGGGGUACACGAGCGGCGAACGGGUGAGUAACACGUGGGUGAUCUGCCUCGUACUCUGGGAUAAGCCUGGGAAACUGGGUCUAAUACCGGAUAUGACCACGAGUCGCAUGGUUUGUGGUGGAAAGAUUUAUCGGUGCGAGAUGGGCCCGCGGCCUAUCAGCUUGUUGGUGGGGUAAUGGCCUACCAAGGCGACGACGGGUAGCCGGCCUGAGAGGGCGACCGGCCACACUGGGACUGAGACACGGCCCAGACUCCUACGGGAGGCAGCAGUGGGGAAUAUUGCACAAUGGGCGGAAGCCUGAUGCAGCGACGCCGCGUGCGGGAUGACGGCCUUCGGGUUGUAAACCGCUUUCGACAGGGACGAAGCGUGAGUGACGGUACCUGUAGAAGAAGCACCGGCCAACUACGUGCCAGCAGCC
rnacentral:rRNA from 1 species